rnacentral:rRNA from 1 species
UGCAUGCAGUCGAACGGGCGGAGGGGCUUCGGCCCCCGAGCUAGUGGCAGACGGCUGAGUAACACGUAAGUGAUCUGCCCCGGAGAGGGGGAUAACCCGGAGAAGUCCGGCCUAAUACCCCGUACGCUCCCUUUACUGCGGUUUAGAGAGGAAAGUUCCGGCGCUCUGGGAGGAGCUUGCGGCCUAUCAUGGUAGUUGGUGGGGUAAAAGCCUACCAAGCCGAAGACGGGUAACCGGUGUGAGAGCACGAUCGGUCAGAGGGGGACUGAGACACGGCCCCCACUCCUACGGGAGGCAGCAGCAGGGAAUCUUGCGCAAUGGGCGAAAGCCUGACGCAGCGACACCGCGUGGGGGAUGAAGGCUUUCGAGUUGUAAACCCCUUUUCCCGGGGAUGAGAAAGGACAGUACCCGGGGAAUAAGGUUCGGCUAACUACGUGCCAGCAGCCGCGGUAAUACGUAGGAACCGAGCGUUGUCCGGAUUUACUGGGCGUAAAGUGCGCGUAGGCGGUCUGUUAAGUCUCAUGUGAAAUCUCCCGGCUCAACUGGGAGGGGUCAUGGGAUACUGGCAGACUUGAGUGCAGCAGAGGGGAGUGGAAUUCCCGGAGUAGUGGUGGAAUGCGUAGAUACCGGGAGGAACACCAGAGGCGAAGGCGACUCCCUGGGCUGUGUCUGACGCUGAGGCGCGAAAGCGUGGGUAGCAAACCGGAUUAGAUACCCGGGUAGUCCACGCCCUAAACGAUGGAUACUAGGUAUGGGGGGUAUCGACCCCCUCCGUGCCGCAGCUAACGCAAUAAGUAUCCCGCCUGAGGAGUACGG